ensembl:lincRNA
AUUUAAUGAACGUCUUUUGUAUUUCACUGGUUAUACGAGAUAUUUUUCAUACCUAAUUUUCAUAACAGAGUUUUGAAAUAUGGAUUUUACCAUUCCUUUUUAUGGAUGAGAGAAACUGAGGCUUAAAAUGAUUAAGCUGAUUGCCUUGUGUCAUGGAGAAUUAAUAUGUAGUAGAGAUGAGAUUUGAGCCCAUAUCUUUCUGAUUAAAAAAUCUAUUCUCUUUCUACUUCAUCACAAUAUGUGGUUAAUUUCUUUAGUGCCUGGAUAAGCACUGAAUUACAGGGGGAAUGUAAUGAUUAAAUUUUUGCUGGAGUUGUGUUACUAAAUGCAUUUUGAUUUCUGCUUAACAAGAGCCAAUUUUUUGAACAAUAGGCAGUGAUAUGGGAAAUGAUGAUGCCAUCGGAGGGAAUGUGAGCAAAUAUGUGGUGCUUCCAACUGGAUACUGUGGACAGCCCAAGAAAGGACAUCUUAUCUUUGAUGCUUGCUUUGAAAGUGGUAACCUUGGACGGGUGGACCAGGUCUCUGAGUUUGAGUAUGAUUUAUUUAUUAGGCCGGACACCUGUAAUCCUCGCUUCCGAGUCUGGUUCAACUUUACUGUUGAAAAUGUGAAAGAAUCACAGGUGAGAGAAAUAGUGGAUCCCCUUCAGUGUGGUUUUGGUAAGAAGAUUAUGCUUUUGUUUUAUUUUAGGAAUAUCAUAAUAAUGACUAUAGUAGAACUAUCUUCUUUUAUAUGUACAGUAAUGAUAUUUUAUUUCAAGAAGUAUAGAAUAACAGGUAUAAUAUACUGGCUUUUGUUAUCUGUUGGUUAUUAAAAAUACAAGCAGAUUAUGUAAGAACACAGUGUUCUUUACGAUUGCAGCUUUAGCAUGAUGUACUAGACUUCCAUGGGGGAAGCCUAUAAGGAACCACUGGAAGUGACUUUAUUAUACAGUGCUGUUCUGUAUAUCUUUUCUUCACAGGACUCAUUUCACAAACAGAUUUUCUUCACCUAUAUAACAAGGUGUUUAUAUCUUAAAAGCAAUAUGAUUCUUAUAAUUCAUCCUGCUUUUCACUUUAUUUGGCUAUUGCACAACUCAGAGUCAAUUUUAUAGCCCACGUUAAUGACUCUGGAAAAAUUUUUUACUUGUGCUUUUGUAUACUAAGUUUUCUGUUAUUCUAAUAGUAUUUAGGUUGGUGCAAAAGUAUUCAUGGUUUUGCAUUGUUAAACUUUGCCUUUUUAUAUUGGAAUACAUUCUUUAAUAAAAGUGGUUAUUUGAAUGCACAUUUCUCACUUUGUCUUUUUGCUAAUGACUUAUUACUUGCUGUUUAUUUUAUAUUUAUUUUAGACUAGGGAAAUAAUAUUAGGCAAAAAGCAAAGUUGAGUAAUUUUCUUAUUCAAGCUGAGAAUGGUCAUCAAGCAGCAGAGACAAUUCGCAACAUCAAGAAUGCAUUUGGUCUAGGAAUUGCUAACAAAUGUACAGUGCAGUGGUGGUCCAAGAAAUUCUGCAAAGGAGACAAGAGCCUUGAAGAUGAUGAGCGCAGUGGCUGGCUAUUGGAAGUUGACAAUGACCAACCUGAGAAAUUGCCAAAGAACUCAGUGUGGACCAUUCUAUGGUCAUUCAGCAUUUGAAGCAAAUUGGAAAGAUGAAAAAUCUCAGUAAGUGGGUACCCAUGAGCUGAAUGCCAAUCAAAAAAACAAAAAAAGAAUAAUCACUUUGAACUGUUGUCUCCUUUUAUUCUAUGCAACCAACUAUUUCUUGCUUGGAUUGUGUCCUGCAAUGACAAGUGAAUUUUAUACGACAGCCAGUGAUGACCAUCUCAAUGACUGGACCAAGAAGCUCCAAAGCACUUCCUAAAGCCAAACUUGCACCAAAAAAGGUCAUGGUCACUGUUUGGUGAUCUGCUGCCCAUCUGAUCCACUGCAGCUUUCUGAAUCCAGGUGAAACCAUUGCAUCUGAGAAAUAUGUUCAGCAAAUCAAUGAUAUACACUGAAAACUGCAAUGCCUGCAGCCAGCAUUGGUCAACAGAAAGAGCCCAAUUCUUUUCCAUGAAAACAUCCAAUUGCACGUUGCACAACCAAUGCUUGAAAAGUUGAAAGAGUUAGUCUACAAAGUUUCGCCUCAUCCACCAUAUUCGCUUGACCUCUUGCCAAUGGACUACCAUUUCUUCAAGCAUCUUGACAGCUUUUUGCAGGGAAAAGGCUUACACAACCAGCUGGAGGUAGACAAUGCCUUUCAAGAGUUUGUCAAAUCCUAAAGCAUGGAUUUUUAUGCUACAGGAAUAAAUAAACUUAUUUCCCAUUGGCAAAAACUGUGUUGAUUAUAAUGGUUUCUAUUUUUAUUAAUAAAGCUGUGAUUGAGCCUUGUUAUAAUGAUUUAAAAUUCAUGGUCUGAAACCACAAUUACUUUGCACCAACCUAAAUAAUAUGAAUCUAUC